AUUGAACGCUGGCGGCAGGCUUAACACAUGCAAGUCGAGCGGAUGAAAGUAGCUUGCUACUGGAUUCAGCGGCGGACGGGUGAGUAAUGCUUAGGAAUCUGCCUAUUAGUGGGGGACAACGUUCCGAAAGGAGCGCUAAUACCGCAUACGUCCUACGGGAGAAAGCAGGGGACCUUCGGGCCUUGCGCUAAUAGAUGAGCCUAAGUCGGAUUAGCUAGUUGGUAGGGUAAAGGCCUACCAAGGCGACGAUCUGUAGCGGGUCUGAGAGGAUGAUCCGCCACACUGGGACUGAGACACGGCCCAGACUCCUACGGGAGGCAGCAGUGGGGAAUAUUGGACAAUGGGGGGAACCCUGAUCCAGCCAUGCCGCGUGUGUGAAGAAGGCCUUUUGGUUGUAAAGCACUUUAAGCGAGGAGGAGGCUACCUAGAUUAAUACUUUAGGAUAGUGGACGUUACUCGCAGAAUAAGCACCGGCUAACUCUGUGCCAGCAGCCGCGGUAAUACAGAGGGUGCGAGCGUUAAUCGGAUUUACUGGGCGUAAAGCGUGCGUAGGCGGCCAAUUAAGUCAAAUGUGAAAUCCCCGAGCUUAACUUGGGAAUUGCAUUCGAUACCGGUUGGCUUGAGUAUGGGAGAGGAUGGUAGAAUUCCAGGUGUAGCGGUGAAAUGCGUAGAGAUCUGGAGGAAUACCGAUGGCGAAGGCAGCCAUCUGGCCUAAUACUGACGCUGAGGUACGA
rnacentral:rRNA from 1 species